rnacentral:rRNA from 1 species
UAAAAGAAAUCAUUUUUAGUACUUCCUGCUCAAUGAAAUUUAAAUAGCCGCAGUCCCCUGUGCUAAGGUAGCAUAAUCAUUUGCCUAAUAAUUAUAGGAUAGAAUGAAAGGAAUUACAUGUUAUCUUCUUUAUUAAAAAGGAAAUUUUAAAUUAUUAUUUAAGUAAAAACUCUUAAAUUAUUAGGGGGACGACAAGACCCUGACGAACUUUACUCUUUGUUUAGCUGGGGCGGCAAAUAAAUUAUACCUUUUUUAUAAAUUUCUAAAUUUAACCUUAAUAUGAUAAUCAAGUUACCGCAGGGAUAACAGCAUAACUUUUUCCUGAAGACCUUAUACAAGAAAAUAUUUGUGACCUCGAUGUUGAAUUAAAAGUCUUUUAGAAGCAGAAUUCUAAAAAGAGAGUCUGUUCGACUCUUAAAUAUUU